GACGAACGCUGGCGGCGUGCCUAAUACAUGCAAGUUGAGCGCUGAAGGUUGGUACUUGUACCAACUGGAUGAGCAGCGCACGGGUGAGUAACGCGUGGGGAAUCCGCCUUUGAGCGGGGGACAACAUUUGGAAACGAAUGCUAAUACCGCAUAAAAACUUUAAACACAAGUUUUAAGUUUGAAAGAUGCAAUUGCAUCACUCAAAGAUGAUCCCGCGUUGUAUUAGCUAGUUGGUGAGGUAAAGGCUCACCAAGGCGAUGAUACAUAGCCGACCUGAGAGGGUGAUCGGCCACAUUGGGACUGAGACACGGCCCAAACUCCUACGGGAGGCAGCAGUAGGGAAUCUUCGGCAAUGGACGAAAGUCUGACCGAGCAACGCCGCGUGAGUGAAGAAGGUUUUCGGAUCGUAAAACUCUGUUGGUAGAGAAGAACGUUGGUGAGAGUGGAAAGCUCAUCAAGUGACGGUAACUACCCAGAAAGGGACGGCUAACUACGUG
rnacentral:rRNA from 1 species